UACAGAGGAGCCAAGCGUUGUCCGGAUUGACUGGGCGUAAAGGGCGCGUAGGCGGCCCCUUAAGCGUGUGGUGAAAGCGCGGGGCUCAACCCCGCGUCGGCCAUGCGGACUGGGGGGCUGGAGCACGUCAGAGGCAGGCGGAAUUCCGGGUGUAGCGGUGGAAUGCGUAGAGAUCCGGAAGAACACCGGUGGCGAAGGCGGCAUCCUGGACCGACAUUGACGCUGAGGCGCGAAAGCCAGGGGAGCAAACGGG
rnacentral:rRNA from 1 species